AACAGCAGGUCUACAAGGUGCGAGUGUACAGCCAUGAUCAGAUUGUUGAGGUCAUCAGACAAUGGUUGGUACAUAUGCGAACACCGUACAGUUCACAACCACCGCAUGUCUCUGACUUGCGGAGAGAAGUUGCAUUGGAAAUCACACAGGCACAUUGAUAGGUACACUAGGAAUCUGGUGCUGCAGCUCAGGGAGAAUAACGUUAGUCUUAGCAAGGUCUAUAGCAUUGUCAGUAGUUUUUUUGGAACUUUGGAGAAUGUACCAUUCACCAAGAGGUCUUUGCGCACACUGUGUGGCAAGUUGAGCAGGGAGCAAUCGGACAAUGAUGCUACCAAGACAAUAGGUCUCCUCCAAGAUUUAAAAGCA
rnacentral:rRNA from 1 species